GACGAACGCUGGCGGCGUGCCUAAUACAUGCAAGUCGAGCGGAUUGAUGGGAGCUUGCUCCCUGAUAUCAGCGGCGGACGGGUGAGUAACACGUGGGCAACCUGCCUAUAAGACUGGGAUAACUUCGGGAAACCGGAGCUAAUACCGGAUAAUCCCUUUCCUCUCAUGAGGAAAGGCUGAAAGGUGGUUUACGCUAUCACUUAUAGAUGGGCCCGCGGCGCAUUAGCUAGUAGGUGAGGUAACGGCUCACCAAGGCAACGAUGCGUAGCCGACCUGAGAGGGUGAUCGGCCACACUGGGACUGAGACACGGCCCAGACUCCUACGGGAGGCAGCAGUAGGGAAUCUUCCGCAAUGGACGAAAGUCUGACGGAGCAACGCCGCGUGAGUGAUGAAGGUUUUCGGAUCGUAAAACUCUGUUGUUAGGGAAGAACAAGUACGAGAGUAACUGCUCGUACCUUGACGGUACCUAACCAGAAGGCCACGGCUAACUACGUGCCAGCCGCCGCCGUAA
rnacentral:rRNA from 1 species